UACGAAAGGUGCAAGCGUUGUUCGGAAUGACUGGGCGUAAAGCGCACGUAGGCGGGUUCGCAAGUAGGAUGUGAAAGCCCCAGGCUUAACCUGGGAAUGGCACCCUAAACUACGAAUCUUGAAUGCUUGAGAGGUUGGUGGAAUUCCUGGUGUAGGAGUGAAAUCCGUAGAUAUCAGGAGGAAUAUCGGAGGCGAAGGCGACCAACUGGUGCUGCAUUGACGCUGAGGUGCGAAAGCGUGGGGAGCAAACAGG
rnacentral:rRNA from 1 species